GAAAGACAACUCAUAGGGGUAGAACUGAAAGCAUAUCGAUAAGGACCUGUUGAUCCAUAUUCAAGCAUGUAUAUAUGAAUGGCAGAUUGGACAGUAGAUAUAAAAUCAUGCUCAGCUAGCAAAACUGAAAGCAGAUCGAUAAGGACCUAUUGAUCUACAUUCAAGGUUCUUACCGAGGGUAAACAAAAGGAAGUACUUAAAGCUGACGGUGCAUUGUUUUCACAUAUUUGUGAGGUUUAGGCAAGGUUAAUGUGCAUCACAUUUAUGGACAAGUAUCGUGGGGGUUAAUGUUGGGAUAGAAUGACUUUGUUGGAUAUAUGGAUGAAUGUAUCAAAUCUUUACAUAAAU